rnacentral:rRNA from 1 species
UACGGAGGGCGCAAGCGUUGUUCGGAAUCACUGGGCGUAAAGCGCGUGUAGGCGGCUUUGCAAGUCGGGUGUGAAAUCCCGAGGCUCAACCUCGGAACUGCACUCGAUACUGCUUGGCUCGAGUCCCGGAGAGGGUGGCGGAAUUCCCUGUGUAGGGGUGAAAUGCGUAGAUAUCGGGAGGAACACCAGUGGCGAAGGCGGCCACCUGGACGGUGACUGACGCUGAGACGCGAAAGCGUGGGGAGUAAACAGG